rnacentral:rRNA from 1 species
AACGCUGGCGGCGCGCUUAACACAUGCAGGUCGAGCGAGAACCGGGACUUCGGUCCCGGGGACAGCGGCGAACGGGUGAGUAACACGUGGGUAGUCUGCCCUCGAUUCUGGGAUAGCCCGGGGAAACCCGGAUUAAUACCGGAUAGCCUUUCGAGCCCUCGGGCGCGAAAGAAAAGGUAGCUUCGGCCUCCGAUCGAGGAUGAGCCCGCGGUGGAUUAGCUUGUUGGUGAGGUAAUGGCUCACCAAGGCGACGAUCCAUAGCUGGUCUGAGAGGACGAUCAGCCACACUGGGACUGAGACACGGCCCAGACUCCUACGGGAGGCAGCAGUAGGGAAUCUUGCGCAAUGGGCGAAAGCCUGACGCAGCGACGCCGCGUGGGGGAAGAAGGCCUUAGGGUUGUAAACCUCUUUCAGGCGGGACGAGGCCACUCGGGUUAACAGCCCAGAGGGUGACGGUACCGCCAGAAGAAGCCCCGGCUAACUACGUGCCAGCAGCCGCAGUAACAC